GUGACAUAGCUUGGCUGGCACCGUGGACGUAUAAGUAUACUUGCUCGUCAGAAAAAGUGCCAAAAGUGUCUUUGGCCAAUGAGAUUUCGAUAUCGUGACUGACUUUGCAUCGAGUAUCUGCGCUGUCAAUGUGCGAUUGUGAAGUGACAAAUGUGAAACAUGCAAGUCUGAACGCGCUUAUUUCAUAUUGCUCAACGGGGCUGGUGUGUUCAUAACAGCUCGUGUGAGUUUGUCGCAUGAUGUGUCAAACCCUUUUUAUUCAUAUUUUCCAAUGGAACUGAUACAAUCUUAAUCUCCCUCUCUCCGUGUGUGGUGUGGCUGAGGAGUCGCUCUCUGUUGUUUAUCCUAGACUCAGCGGGUGAGAGAGACGGUGCUAAAGUCACACCUUGGCCCACUUCAACGGAGCCUUGGGUCUGAGAGCACAAACAUCAGGUGUUCAGUCGAAACUCCACCGUGCCAAAGUUCUCACACGGGAUCAGCAUAAAGGAAUCUUAAUUGGACCCCCGGCACUCCUUUGAAGGCGAGAUCAACAACAAAUUCAUUCCUCACAUUCUGUUUCGUAUGUGAUAAGCACCAAACUGGAAAAUUCAUUUGUAUUUCUCUCUAAUUUUCUCAGGAUAAAAACAUUAAAUAUUGAGGCAGAAAGUCACAUACUCAGGAUAAAUGGUUUGGUAUCCAUCUAUAUGUCUGUCUGGAAUCAGAUAGAUCUCUUUCUCUUCCUCUCUCUAUAUCCACACAUGUACACUUUAUUUCUUUAACAUGACUUUUUGAACAACCUUUGUUGCUCUAACACCGGGCUGUGCCCUUGUACUUUAGUUUAUUUUCCAACCAGAAGUACAUUUUUUUUGUCUUAUCAUUUUCACAGUGUAAUAACCACAGUAAGUUCAUGCACACAUAACCACACAUGCACGUGUCGAUGACUAUACAUCACUACUUGUCUGCAGGCUUAUUAAACAUUGUCUGUUUGUUUGAAGGAACUACUUGAAGUUUAAACACACCUGGAGCAUUUGUCAGUUGUUGACACAUCUUCCGGAAAAAAAAAAAAAACAAAAAAAACACUUCCAAAACACAUGUAUGACAAAAAUGCCACUUUAACCCUUUCAGGGACAACGGUUACUACAGUGGACAGCUUAUCAUCUUAUCAGGUAACGGAGUGCAGGAUAAGUUACUCAGAGAUUCCAACAUUGUAUUUCAUCUCAUUGAGCAACAAACAUAAUAAUCAACUGUUUAAUUAAUGCCGCUUUAAUCGUGACAUCAUUAUUAGCUUCAUCAAGGCAGAAAUUCAUAUGCAGCUCUUGCAUCGAAUAUGUUUACUCUGUGCAAGUGUUAAAAGAGUUUGUGGCAGGCCGGUAUGCGUUGUCACCAAAUUCAUGGAUUGAAUUUGGUGACAUUUGAUUUUUUUUUUUGGUUGAUUGCAUUUAAUAGGGUUAAAAUGGUGUGUGCAGAGGAAGCAGAGGGUGCGGCGACCAUUUGAGUUGGGAGUUUUAGAGAGGGUAAAGAGAGUGUGCUCAGCUGUCUGCGCAGCUCACAGUGAAAGGAGAACAUCUUGGGACACUACCAAGCAAUCGUGUUGUAGCAAGUGAGCCAAGGUUCAAAGAUUUAGAUCUUGUCUCAAACUUGGAUCACAUUUGGAACAUCUUUAUUUCAUUUUUGUAUUGCUCCAUUUGCAAUAGUGCAAAAUGUCUAGAAUUAUAUUCAUAUUUUACAGUUCAAAUAAAUAGUCAUCACAUAGAAGCAGAGCAGAAACUUAAAAUCAUUGUUACAGUCACGUUCACACUGAAUAACAUGGAUUCAUGGAGCCAUCUUCCUAUUUACAGGACAUUUUGAUCGACAUGCGAUUCUUGGUCCUUCACUGCAUAAUUAAACACUAACAGUAUCUCCAUUAGACAUGGGCACAUUCAUUUAACUGGAUCCUUUCUGAAAAACAAUAGCAAAAAAUGAGGUAGAAACUGAAAACCUUGAACAAAAUACGAAAAGGGCAAUGUCUCGCAACAGUUUGCAAUAAUAAUGUGGGAUUUUCCUGUUUGUUAGCCAUGAUGUUAUGUUGCAUCUUGAUGUUGCAAGUUCAACACGGGAGAGGAAGGCGGGGGGGACAAAAAGAACUGUUGGGGUUAUUUCCACACAUAUUCAUACUUGGCAUUGAGUAAUAGAAGUUGGGUGGGUGCUGCAAUUUAUUUUUUACAUGACGCUGUAAUUUUUUGGUAUAUUUUUUUUUUAAAGUCAUCAGUCCUCCUUGUGCAUUUGUGGUAUUUGAGUCACAUGAUCAUCUGACAAGUGGGAGUGGGGAAACUCAUGUAAACUAGCCAUGAGUAUGGAAGCAUUGAUCUGAACCACUUUAACCACACAUGGGUCGUGGGCAUGCUGGAGCCUAUCCCAGCGGUCUUUGGGCAGUAGGCGGGGUACACCCUGAACUGGUCGGCAGCCAAUCGCAGGGCACACAGUGACAAACAACCACUUGCGCUCACAAUCACACCACGGGACAAUUUAGAGUGUUCCAUUAAUCUGCCACCCAUGUUUUUGGAAUGUGGGAGGAAAUGGGAGUACCCGGAGAAAAUCCACGCAGGCACGGGUAGAACGUGUAAAUUGUGUCAAACUGAGUGCACAACAUUGCUACAACUAGUAGAGGCCACCAUUGAGUGGAACCAAA